rnacentral:pre_miRNA from 1 species
AAAGUACUCCCUCCGUCCCAAAAUAAGUGUCUUAACUUUGUACUAACUUUAGUACUACAAAGUUGUACUAAGGUUGAGACACUUAUUUUGGGACGGAGGGAGUACUAA